GUUGAUCCUGCGGGAGAUUGCCGCUAUCUGAGUGGGACUAAGCCAUGCAAGUCUGAGGGUUUUCUUUUAGGAAGCACAGGCAUAAUGCUCAGUAACACGUCAAUAAUCUGCCCUUAGGUCUGGGAUAACCUCGGGAAACUGAGGCUAAAACCGGAUAGGUAAAUGAUACUGGAAUGUUCUUUUACUGAAAGGCAGCGCCUAAGGAUGAGUUGGCGGCCGAUUAGGUUGUUGGUGGGGUAAAGGCCCACCAAGCCAAAGAUCGGUAGGGGCCUUGGAAGAGGGAGCCCCGAGAAGGGUACUGAGACACUGACCCUAGCCCUACGGGGUGCAGCAGGCGCGAAACCUUUACAAUGCACGCAAGUGUGAUAAGGCUACUCAGAGUGCUCAUGUUUUGCAUGGGUUUUUGUUAAGAGUAAAAAUCUUAGCGAAUAAGGGGUGGGUAAGACUGGUGCCAGCCGCCGCGGUAACCCCAGCGCCCCAAGUGGCAAUCACGAUUAUUGGGCCUUAAGCGUUCGUAGCCGGUUUAGUAAGUUCUUGGUGAAAUCGUUCUGCUCAACAGAACGGCGUGCUUGGAAUACUGCUAAACUAGGGACCGGGAGGCGUCAGAAGUAUUCUAGGGGGAGCGGUAAAAUGUUAUAAUCCCUAGAGGACUACCUGUGGCGAAGGCGUCUGACGAGAACGGGUCCGACGGUGAGGGACGAAAGCUAGGGGAGCAAACGGGAUUAGAUACCCCAGUAGUCCUAGCCGUAAACGUUGCGAGCUGGAUGUCGCGUAAUCUUCGUGGUUGUGCGGUGUCGUAGCGCAGGUGUUAAGCUCGCCGCCUGGGAAGUACGGUCGCAAGGCUGAAACUUAAAGGAAUAGGCGGGGGAGCACCACAAGGGGUGCGGCGUGCGGUUUAAUCGAAUUCAACGCCGAGAAUCUCACCAGGGGCGACGGCAGAAUGAAGGUCAGCCUGAAGGGCUUACCUGACGAGCCGAGAGGUAGUGCAUGGCCGUCGUCAGCUCGUACCGUGAGGUGUCCUGUUGAGUCAGGCAACGAGCGAGACCUGUGCCCUUAAUUGCUAACAGUUGCUUCGGCAAGACUGAGAACAUUAGGGGGACUGCCCGGGAAACCGGGAGGAAGGUGCAGGCGACGGUAGGUCUGUAUGCUCCGAAUCUCCUGGGCAACACGCGCGCAACAGUGGUAGGGACAAUGGGAUGCAACCCCGAGAGGGGAAGCUAAACCUCUAAACCCUAUCUUAGUCCAGAUCGAGGGCUGUAACUCGCCCUCGUGACGCUGGAAUCCCCAGUAAUCGUGGUUCAUCGUACCACGGUGAAUAUGUCCCUGCUCCUUGCACUCACCGCCCGUCAAUCCAACCGAGUGGGGUUAGGAUGAGGCCUUACUUUGAGUAAUGUCGAAUUCUAGCUUCGUGAGGCGGGAUAAGUCGUCACAAGGUA
rnacentral:rRNA from 1 species